rnacentral:rRNA from 1 species
AGGAUGAACGCUGGCGGCGUGCCUAACACAUGCAAGUCGAACGUCCUGUCUCGCAAGAGGCAGGGAGUGGCGGACGGGUGAGUACCACGUGGGUCAUCUACCGUGAGGUGAGGAAUACCGGCGAGAAAUCGCCGACAAGACCGCAUAGGCUCGAUGCAAGUCGAGCAAAGCUCUUUCGAGAGAGGGAGCGCCACACGAGGAGCCUGCGCCCGAUUAGCUAGCUGGUGGAGUAACGGUUCACCAGGGCGACGAUCGGUGGCUGGUCUGAGAGGACGAUCAGCCACACUGGGAUUGAGAACGGCCCAGACUCCUACGGGGGGCAGCAGUGAGGAAUUUUCGUCAAUGGGGGCAACCCUGAACGAGCAACGCCGCGUGCAGGAAGAAGGUUUUCGGAUCGUAAACUGCUUUUCUCGGGGAAGAGAAUGGACGGUACCCGAGGAAUCAGCCCCGGCUAACUACGUGCCAGCAGCCGC